UAUGAAGGGGGCUAGCGUUGCUCGGAAUUACUGGGCGUAAAGGGCGCGUAGGCGGACAGUUUAGUCAGAGGUGAAAGCCCAGGGCUCAACCUUGGAAUUGCCUUUGAUACUGGCUGUCUUGAGUUCGGGAGAGGUGAGUGGAAUGCCGAGUGUAGAGGUGAAAUUCGUAGAUAUUCGGCGGAACACCAGUGGCGAAGGCGACUCACUGGCCCGAUACUGACGCUGAGGUGCGAAAGCGUGGGGAGCAAACAGG
rnacentral:rRNA from 1 species